rnacentral:rRNA from 1 species
AGUGAACGCUGGCGGUAGGCCUAACACAUGCAAGUCGAACGGCAGCACAGUAAGAGCUUGCUCUUACGGGUGGCGAGUGGCGUACGGGUGAGGAAUACAUCGGAAUCUACUUUUUCGUGGGGGAUCACGUAGGGAAACUUACUCUAAUACCGCAUACGCCCUACGGUUGAAAGCAGUGGAUCUUCGGACCUUGCGCGAUUGAAUUAGCCGAUGUCGGAUUAGCUAGUUGGCGGGGUAAAGGCCCACCAAGGCGACGAUCCGUAGCUGGUCUGAGAGGAUGAUCAGCGACACUGGAACUGAGACACGGUCCAGACUCCUACGGGAGGCAGCAGUGGGGAAUAUUGGACAAUGGGCGCAAGCCUGAUCCAGCCAGACCGCGUGGGUGAAGAAGGCCUUCGGGUUGUAAAGCCCUUUUGUUGGGAAAGAAAAGCAGCAGGUUAAUACCCAGCUGUUCUGACGGUACCCAAAGAAUAAGCACCGGCUAACUUCGUG